rnacentral:rRNA from 1 species
ACGUGAGUAACCUGCCCCAGACUCUGGGAUAACCUCGGGAAACCGGGGCUAAUACCGGAUAUGCGAUGAGACCGCAUGGUCAUCGUCGGGAAAGUUUUUCGGUCUGGGAUGGACUCGCGGCCUAUCAGCUUGUUGGUGAGGUAAUGGCUCACCAAGGCGACGACGGGUAGCCGGCCUGAGAGGGCGACCGGCCACACUGGAACUGAGACACGGUCCAGACUCCUACGGGAGGCAGCAGUGGGGAAUAUUGCACAAUGGGCGCAAGCCUGAUGCAGCGACGCCGCGUGGGGGAUGAAGGCCUUCGGGUUGUAAACCCCUUUCAGCAGGGAAGAAGCGAAAGUGACGGUACCUGCAGAAGAAGCGCCGGCUAACUACGUGCCAGCAGCCGCGGUAAUACGUAGGGCGCAAGCGUUGUCCGGAAUUAUUGGGCGUAAAGAGCUCGUAGGCGGUCUGUCGCGUCUGCUGUGAAAUCCCGAGGCUCAACCUCGGGCCUGCAGUACGGGCAGACUAGAGUGUGGUAGGGGAGACUGGAAUUCCUGGUGUAGCGGUGGAAUGCGCAGAUAUCAGGAGGAACACCGAUGGCGAAGGCAGGUCUCUGGGCCACAACUGACGCUGAGGAGCGAAAGCGUGGGGAGCGAACAGGAUUAGAUACCCUGGUAGUCCACGCCGUAAACGGUGGGCACUAGAUGUGGGGCUCUUUCCAUGAGUUCCGCGUCGCAGCUAACGCAUUAAGUGCCCCGCCUGGGGAGUACGGCCGCAAGGCUAAAACUCAAAGGAAUUGACGGGGGCCCGCACAAGCGGCGGAGCAUGCGGAUUAAUUCGAUGCAACGCGAAGAACCUUACCAAGGCUUGACAUAUACCCUCUACCCCCAGAGAUGGGGGGUGCUUCGGCGGGGUAUACAGGUGGUGCAUGGUUGUCGUCAGCUCGUGUCGUGAGAUGUUGGGUUAAGUCCCGCAACGAGCGCAACCCUCGUCCUAUGUUGCCAGCACGUAAUGGUGGGGACUCAUAGGAGACUGCCGGGGUCAACUCGGAGGAAGGUGGGGAUGACGUCAAAUCAUCAUG